UGGGGAAUCUUCCGCAAUGGACGAAAGUCUGACGGAGCAACGCCGCGUGUAUGAUGAAGGUCUUCGGAUUGUAAAGUACUGUCAUUGGGGAAGAACGGUUUUCUUGAAAAGAUUGAGAAGACAUGACGGUACCCAAGGAGGAAGCCCCGGCUAACUACGUGCCAGCAGCCGCGGUAAUACGUAGGGGGCAAGCGUUNUCCGGAAUUAUUGGGCGUAAAGGGCGCAUAGGCGGGCCUUUAAGUCCGGUGUGAAAGAUCAGGGCUCAACCCUGAGAGUGCAUCGGAAACUGGAGGCCUUGAGGACAGGAGAGGAAAGUGGAAUUCCACGUGUAGCGGUGAAAUGCGUAGAUAUGUGGAGGAACACCAGUGGCGAAGGCGACUUUCUGGACUGUAACUGACGCUGAGGCGCGAAAGCGUGGGGAGCAAACAGGAUUAGAUACCCUGGUAGUCACGCCGUAAAC
rnacentral:rRNA from 1 species